rnacentral:rRNA from 1 species
CCUACGGGAGGCAGCAGUGAGGAAUAUUGGUCAAUGGGCGGAAGCCUGAACCAGCCAAGUAGCGUGCGGGAUGAAGGCACUACGGGUCGUAAACCGCUUUUGCACGGGGAUAACACCCUCCACUUGUCCCGGUCUGCAGGUACCUUGCGAAUAAGGACCGGCUAAUUCCGUGCCAGCAGCCGCGGUAAUACGGAGGUCCCGAGCGUUAUCCGGAUUAAUUGGGUUAAAAGGGAGCGUAGGCGGCCGUUAAAGUCCGCUGUAAAAGCCCGCGGACAAACCGCGCACCGCAGUUGAAACUGGAAGGCUUGAGUUAGAAACAGGCAGGCGGAAUUCGUGGUGUAGCGGUGAAAUGCAGAGAUAGCACGAAGAACCCCGAUUGCGAAGGCAGCCUGCCGGGGCGAGACUGACGCUGAGGCUCGAAGGUGCGGGUAUCAAACAGGAUUAGAUACCCGUGUAGUC